UACAGAGGUGGCAAGCGUUGUUCGGAAUUACUGGGCGUAAAGGGCGCGUAGGCGGCCUUCUAAGUCAGACGUGAAAUCCCCCGGCUUAACCUGGGAACUGCGUCUGAUACUGGAGGGCUUGAGUAUGGGAGAGGGAUGUAGAAUUCCAGGUGUAGCGGUGAAAUGCGUAGAUAUCUGGAGGAAUACCGGUGGCGAAGGCAGCCCCCUGGGAUAACACUGACGCUCAUGCACGAAAGCGUGGGGAGCAAACAGG
rnacentral:rRNA from 1 species